AAUUUAAAGUUGAAUCACAGCUGCAAAAAAGAAAAACUAAAUUUCAUUGUCCAAAUUGAAAUUGGUUGAAUGAAAAGUAAAGUCGAGAGAUGAAUAAAAUUAUCAUAGAAACGUCUUUCUUUUUCGACAUUUUUGACCUGAGCAUCAUAGCAUAUAUGUUUCUGUCCAUCAUAGCAUAUAUGUUCCUAUCGUAGAGCAAGUGUUUUCUUGCUUUUAAUAUUUCAUUCCAAGCUUAAAAUGGAGGAAUUUUUUAGGGAUGUUUGAGAAAAUUGUAGCAGUCCUUUUAGAUGGGUCUAGGUGAGAAAUUUUUUUAAGGAUGCUAAACGUGCAAUACAACCUCUACCUUCGAAGUUAUGUGUCACCCCUGAUGGUCGUCCUGUCACAUCACCAUCUUGGUACACCAUUUUCUUUGUAAGCUAAGUAUCGCCCAUUGCUAUGUUUAAUUCUAGGUACUCCAUCUUCAAUUCUUAAUAGCUCACAGGAGCGAUAUCCCGAUGCUAUGGAAGAUGGUGAAUAAGUUUGGUUGUUACGUCUCUUGUUGUAUUUUUCAAUUCAAGGAAUGAUUAUAUCUACAUCUUCUUGGUAAAUUUUAUAACACCUAAUGACAUUGAGAACAACUCGGAGGUUGUGUCAGCAAAAUUUCAACGUCAGUAACACACUUAUAGUCUGUCAAUUAUUUUGGUCACCUUUAAGCUUAAUAUGUUUUUAUGACUUUUAUCUAUUACUAAUCAGAAAUAAAUAGUUUAUUCUAAUUUUGAUGAUUUAACUGAAAAUAAGAAACAGUUGGAUUUGGAUUAAAGGCGACGAGAUUUAUGAAAAUUGUGACGAGGAAGAUGAAGAGUAGAUUUAGACGUCGUUUUUUAAUUUUCAGAAGUCUUUUUCCUGCUACAAAGAAUGUAUAUGUUUGGGAGUGCACCUUUAAAGAGUGUAAAUUAUUAAGAAAAGACAAUAUCAAUGCUACUUUGGUUGUUCUGUUGGCAAUAGUGACUACAUAUUAUUUACACACACUCUAAGCAUGGUCUAUCCAUAGGUGAACAUAGGUGAGCAUUCUGACUUCUGAAAGGAAAGAUCUAAUGAUUACAACAUGUAUAUUAAUUGUUGGUGGGACAGCUGCCGCAUACAUGCAGCCACAAAUAAGAGGCAUGAUUCUACGCAAUGCAGUGGAGUGAAUGGUUGUAUAAUAGAUCCAAUUAAGCAGAUUGGAAAGGGUAAUAAUAUGAAGAAAAGCAGCAGGCAAGACAAAGGAGAUUUGAAGUCUAUAAAAAUUUAGCAGUCAUUAUGAUAUAUAAUUGGUAGAAUGGGUACAAGAGAUUUGUUGGCUUUGCUAACAUAGAGUUGAGUGAGAUUCCUUACUCAGAGAAUAAUUUUCACUCCUAACUUAAAGCAUAUAUGUUGUUGUUCAACCUCUUCCAGGAUCUGAAAAUUUUGGAGUAUGUAAAAUGUAUAGAAAGUGUAUAUUGUAGUUUUUAGAGCAGAAAAAAGAUAAAGCAUUGAGACUUGUCAAAAAGGAAAAGAUAAGAAAAAACUCGAACACUUUAAAGAUUUCAAUAGUUAAUAGUAUAUGCAUAUACGACCAUUAAUUUUGG